rnacentral:rRNA from 1 species
GACAGAGGGUGCGACCGUUGUUCGGAAUUACUGGGCGUAAAGCGCGUGUAGGCGGCAACGCAAGUCGGGCGUGAAAUCCCUGGGCUCAACCCAGGAACUGCGUCCGAUACUGGUUGGCUUGAGUUCGGGAGAGGGAUGCGGAAUUCCAGGUGUAGCGGUGAAAUGCGUAGAUAUCUGGAGGAACACCGGUGGCGAAGGCGGCAUCCUGGACCGGUAUUGACGCUGAGGAGCGAAAGCCAGGGGAGCAAACGGG